rnacentral:rRNA from 1 species
UACGUAGGGUGCAAGCGUUAAUCGGAAUUACUGGGCGUAAAGCGUGCGCAGGCGGUGAUGUAAGACAGAUGUGAAAUCCCCGGGCUUAACCUGGGAACUGCAUUUGUGACUGCAUAGCUAGAGUACGGCAGAGGGGGAUGGAAUUCCGCGUGUAGCAGUGAAAUGCGUAGAUAUGCGGAGGAACACCGAUGGCGAAGGCAAUCCCCUGGGCCUGUACUGACGCUCAUGCACGAAAGCGUGGGGAGCAAACAGG